UAGGGAAUCUUCGGCAAUGGACGGAAGUCUGACCGAGCAACGCCGCGUGAGUGAAGAAGGUUUUCGGAUCGUAAAGCUCUGUUGUUAGAGAAGAACGUUGGUAGGAGUGGAAAAUCUACCAAGUGACGGUAACUAACCAGAAAGGGACGGCUAACUACGUGCCAGCAGCCGCGGUAAUACGUAGGUCCCGAGCGUUGUCCGGAAUUAUUGGGCGUAAAGCGAGCGCAGGCGGUUCAUUAAGUCUGAAGUUAAAGGCAGUGGUGUAACCAUUGUACUGUUUGGUCACUGGAGGACUUGAGUGGAGAAGAGGAGAGGGGAAUUGAAUGUGUAGGGGUGAAAUGCGUAAAUAUAUGGAGGAACACAGGUGGCGGAGGCGGCUCACUAGUCUGUAACAGACACAGAGGCUAGAAAGGGUGGGGAGCAAACAGG
rnacentral:rRNA from 1 species